rnacentral:rRNA from 1 species
UACGUAGGGUGCGAGCGUUGUCCGGAAUUAUUGGGCGUAAAGAGCUUGUAGGUGGCUCGUCGCGUCGGGAGUGAAAACCCGCGGCUUAACCGCAGGCCUGCUUCCGAUACGGGCGAGCUAGAGUUCGGCAGGGGAGACUGGAAUUCCUGGUGUAGCGGUGGAAUGCGCAGAUAUCAGGAGGAACACCGGUGGCGAAGGCGGGUCUCUGGGCCGAUACUGACACUGAGAAGCGAAAGCGUGGGGAGCAAACAGG